CUUCUGCCCUGUUUUUAGAGGCAGGGAAAGUGGAAACUCUGGAGCCUCUUUGACAUUUUUACCUUGUAAUUGAAACUGUGCAGCCUUUUGGGUCGAGGAUUUCUUUUUUCGUGGCUUAAGAUUUGAAACUUCCUCAGGCAGCGGCAUCCUUGGAUCUUGCAUCCCUCACAGGCCUCACCAGUUGACUAUUGCACUAUACAAAGAAUGUGAAAAAGCAUAUGAGCACAAAAGAAGUCAAAAGCACCACGGAUUUUAGGUAAUGAGAAAGAUUUGCCAUGGAGGUGUGAAUAUAAGACAGAUGUAUGUAGGAUCUAGAAAUUGAAGAGUUAAUCGUACAGCUCAAGAGAAUAUUGGUGAGACUUAUUCUGAAGUUUUUAAAUCAUCUAAUUUAUGAGAAAGGUUUUUGGAUGGAAACCCAGAAAAUGCUUCACAAUCACAGAGAUAUAUAGAAACACAAAUGCAAGCAAUGUGUUCAUGCAAACACACAUUUGAUGCAUGGCAUAGUGGAAAACUAGCCCUUCCAAUCUAGGAUCCAAUUCUGUUAUGAUCAUCAUUGUAUCUCUGGGGGAAACACCCCAAGUCUCACCUAGAUCAAAACCAAUAGCCAUCAGAUUCUUAAACCCUUUUUACCACGAUAAAAUUCUAAUUUAGGUGGGUAUGAAUGGCAUAAUAAAAUUGAUUAAGUGCUAAGGUAGAUCAGCAAAACAGUUCUCCAUUGAGAUUGUACUUGGCCCUAUUGUAUCUUUGUUAUACAAUUCAUCUUUAGAGGCUUCCCUGUCAUUUUUGAACAAUUGAUGUGAAAUUUACUAUUUUGGAGCACCAUAAAAAUGCUCAAUUUUCUGCCAAAAGAAACAAGGAAAAAAUUCACUCUCCUAAAAUUCAAACUUUGAUCCUAUGUUAAUUAUCUCCAACCACCCCUUGCUUUUCACUCUCCCCUUAAACUCUUCACUCUUUACCUCCAGCUGGCUUCCUACAAUUAAGAAUCCCACAUAUAUAAUGAGAAAUGUCUCUUAACCAAAUCCAAGAAAUUAUGGUAAAGAAGCGAAAAUAAUCCCUUUUUUUCUUUUUGUCUAUCAAGAACAAAGAUGAAAUUAGUAUAUUCUUUUUUGUGGUACCUUGACAAGCACUUCCUUACAUCCCCAUACUGGAUUCAACAAACAACCCCAAACCACCACCUCACUCUGGACUCCCUUUUCCAGAUAAAUGAAACACCUCACAAUAAUCAGGAUCUUUAUGCUGAAAGUAAAGUGAUACCAUCUCAUUAAACAGAAACUGGAUAGUGACCUAUCAGAAUGAGUUCCUUCAGUACUUAGAAUAUAAAGCUUCCAGGAAAAACAUGCUUUGAAUUAAUAGGAAGCAUAUUUUGAAUGCUCAAUAAUGUACAUCACAGGUGAUCUAAAUAUGGAUGAAUUCAUCAAAUAAAGAACUUUGUUUACAAAGCCCAGAUUUUCCCUAAUAAGUGUGUUAAGUGUUAAAGCCCUAAAUGUUGGAUUCUGAAGGUCAUCAGAAUCCAUGAGCAGAUGGACUCAACCAUGCACUUUGAAGCUGCUAUUCUGCAGAACCUCCACCGUGCAUCAAACAUGAUCUAUGAGUUAGAUGAUUUCAGGCCCAAGGUCUAAGUAUGAUGCAGCACCACAUACACUUCCAAAAGGUAGCCCCACAUAUAAGGCACAACCAACAUCAGUAAUCAGCUGAUACGCAACAUUGGACUUCCGCCUGGGCUAUGCCAGACAUCCCCACUCAAUUGUUGAUGCCCAUGUCAGCAAGCACGAAGCAAUCUAGGUCAAACCUCACUCUAAUACCAAAUGAUGUGGGACCACAUACACUCCCAAAAGUUUAAGCUAAUGGGGGUAGAGGCAGCUCUACAUAUAAGGCCCAACCAAUGUUGGUAAUCUGCCGAUAUAGGAAGUUGGAUUUCAGUACAUCUUACAUCAAAGUAGCUAGAAGCCACCAACAUGGUGGAUAAAAGGAAAAAUAAUGUCCCAAAACACAUACACACCCUAUGAUACAUCACUAGCCAUUGGACUGAAGCAAAGAAAAGCAAAAUUGGGAGUAUCAUAGACGACCAAAGAUGAGAGUCCAGUUUGUACGAUUUAUUACCCAUUUAUAUGCUCCAUGGCAUGUAAAUAACAAGUAAAAACAUUUUAACACCAGCCUAAAAUACAAAACAAAAUGAAUCAAUAAACAGCUAGAAGAAAAAAUACAAUAUAUAUAUAUAUAUAUAUAAGCCAUGAAAAUCAUCCUUGAUCACCCCAAAGGAUUGUAAUAUUACAAAAUGAAAAUGUAGGAUUAGGACCCAGAAACUUAUCACCAAUCUUCCAUGGAUAGAACAGCUUUGCCUACUUCAGAAAAGAAUUAGAAGACAUGGUUGUGUCAUGACUCAUGAUUAGAGACUUAAAUCUUGCAUUGGCUAUGUGAUAGAAAAUCCGGAAUUCUCACCCCCUUCCUCUAGCCAAAAGAAUUUCAAUUUCUGUUUGAACUUUGUUCUAACAAACCAUCCUCAAUUUGACCAUAAAAAAACCAGCCUCCAAAGCCAGUUGUGUUGCAUGACAUCAAUAAAUUAAGCAUCACGAAAAAGCAUAAUUUUAGAACAACGAAACCCAUUCCCUAUUCCACCCAAAUAGAAAAAAGACAAAUAAAUUCAGUUCAUCAAAAUUCGUGCGGAACAAGCAGGGUAAUGAAAAAGUUGACACAAAAAAUAAAUUUUAGGUUUUAUAAGAAACCCUAAAAAAAACCGCUACCAGGAAAAAGAAAAUUAUCAGUCCAGAAUAAUGAAAUGAAACGAAACGAAACGAAACGAAACGAAACGAAACAUGGGAAGCACACAUGACAGAUGGUUUUCAGGUAAUGUAGAGGCACCUUGGAGAGUUUGCUCAGGCUCGAACGUGCUUUGCCCAAAUGAGAAGCCGCGGAAAAUAGGGCAAAUCAAUAAAAACGAGAUGAGAGUUGAGAGAGAGGGGAAGGGGUGGAUGAAAAUUGAAAUUGACAGGGAAGUGGGUUGGACCUCGAUGCAACCAACCCCGCCUCAGAAUCAGGAAGGCCGUCUGCAAUGCCUCCGGGCUCCAGAGGCUCCAGGAACCGAACCCCUUUUCUCUUUUCCACUACGCACGUCUUUAACCUUAUUUGCCCACAAUAAUGCUCUUUCAUUCAUGAGUCAUUCGUGGGUAAUAGGCUAGUCCCCCCUCAGGCUCAGCCCGACUUCCAACUCAAUCACUCCAUUCCACAUUCCAC
rnacentral:lncRNA from 1 species